rnacentral:rRNA from 1 species
GACGAACGCUGGCGGCGUGCUUAACACAUGCAAGUCGAACGGAAAGGCCCUUCGGGGUACUCGAGUGGCGAACGGGUGAGUAACACGUGGGUGAUCUGCCCUGCACUUUGGGAUAAGCCUGGGAAACUGGGUCUAAUACCGAAUAGGACCGCGCGCUUCAUGGUGUGUGGUGGAAAGCUUUUGCGGUGUGGGAUGGGCCCGCGGCCUAUCAGCUUGUUGGUGGGGUAAUGGCCUACCAAGGCGACGACGGGUAGCCGGCCUGAGAGGGUGACCGGCCACACUGGGACUGAGAUACGGCCCAGACUCCUACGGGAGGCAGCAGUGGGGAAUAUUGCACAAUGGGCGCAAGCCUGAUGCAGCGACGCCGCGUGAGGGAUGACGGCCUUCGGGUUGUAAACCUCUUUCACCAGGGACGAAGCGGAAGUGACGGUACCUGGAGAAGAAGCACCGGCCAACUACGUG